rnacentral:rRNA from 1 species
AAACCAACAGGGAUUGCCUUAGUAGCGGCGAGUGAAGCGGCAAAAGCUCAAAUUUGAAAUCUGGCACUUUCAGUGUCCGAGUUGUAAUUUGAAGAAGGUAUCUUUGGGUCUGGCUCUNGUCUAUGUUUCUUGGAACAGAACGUCACAGAGGGUGAGAAUCCCGUGCGAUGAGAUGACCCAGACCUAUGUAAAGUUCCUUCGAAGAGUCGAGUUGUUUGGGAAUGCAGCUCUAAGUGGGUGGUAAAUUCCAUCUAAAGCUAAAUAUUGGCGAGAGACCGAUAGCGAACAAGUACAGUGAUGGAAAGAUGAAAAGAACUUUGAAAAGAGAGUGAAAAAGUACGUGAAAUUGUUGAAAGGGAAGGGCUUGAGAUCAGACUUGGUAUUUUGUAUGUUACUCUCUCGGGGGUGGCCUCUACAGUUUACCGGGCCAGCAUCAGUUUGGGCGGUAGGACAAUUGCAAAGAAAUGUGGCACUGCCUCGGUAGUGUGUUAUAGUCUUUGUCGAUACUGCCAGCCUAGACUGAGGACUGCGGCUUCGGCCUAGGAUGUUGGCAUAAUGAUCUUAAGUCGCCCGUCUUGAAACA